GACGAACGCUGGCGGCGUGCCUAAUACAUGCAAGUCGAGCGAAUCAUUAGGAGCUUGCUCCUUUUGGUUAGCGGCGGACGGGUGAGUAACACGUGGGCAACCUGCCUAUAAGACUGGGAUAACUUCGGGAAACCGGAGCUAAUACCGGAUAAUCCUUUUUCACACAUGUGGGAAAGCUGAAAGACGGUGCAAGCUGUCACUUAUAGAUGGGCCGGCGGCGCAUUAGCUAGUUGGUGAGGUAAGGGCUCACCAAGGCGACGAUGCGUAGCCGACCUGAGAGGGUGAUCGGCCACACUGGGACUGAGACACGGCCCAGACUCCUACGGGAGGCAGCAGUAGGGAAUCUUCCGCAAUGGACGAAAGUCUGACGGAGCAACGCCGCGUGAACGAUGAAGGCCUUCGGGUCGUAAAGUUCUGUUGCUAGGGAAGAACAAGUACCGGAGUAACUGCCGGUACCUUGACGGUACCUAACCAGAAAGCCACGGCUAACUACGUGCCAGCCGCCGCCGUAAGAC
rnacentral:rRNA from 1 species